ACACGUAGGGGCCUGACGUUGUUCGGAAUCAUUGGGCGUAAAGGGCGCGCAGGCGGCCGUCCAAGUCCGGUGUUAAAUGGUCGGGCUCAACCCGAUCAUGCGCUGGAAACUGGGCGGCUGGAGUCCCGGAGGGGAUGCCGGAAUUCCAGGUGUAGGGGUGAAAUCUGUGGAUAUCUGGAAGAACACCGAUGGCGAAGGCAGGCAUCUGGCCGGAGACUGACGCUGAGGCGCGAAGGCGCGGGGAGCGAACAGGUUUAGAUACCCUGGUAGUCCGCGCAGUAAACGAUGCGCACCAGGUGUCGGGCGGCAGCGCCCGGUACCGGAGCAAACGCGAUGAGUGCGCCGCCUGGGGAGUAUGCCCGCAAGGGUGAAACUCAAAUGAAUUGACGGGG
rnacentral:rRNA from 1 species